CCUGCCCUUUUUCUUGCGGGCAGGCAGGGGCAGCGCCAAGCUCGGCCCAUUGCGGGCCCAAGGGAUCCUCCGCCCGGCCGCGCUGCUGCUGCAGGCUUUGCCCUAGGGGCUGCAGGGGAGGCGAGAAUGGAGCUGCGAGAGCAGAGCUGCUUCGGCCGAGGGCAGAGUGGGGCGAGGUGGAGCAGCGGCCGCUGGGGGCAGAAUUCUCACGGACAGACUGGCUGCUGAUGGCUUGGAUGAGUCUCUGGACAGAGCAAACAAUAUGGCUCAGCUCAGGUGCAGCAAGCAGAGAACCAUUGCUGUAGCUUUCCAUUGCCCACACCUGUGCUGGCAGCUCUGUUUCAUUGGUGAGCCACAGCAAGCAUCAUUCUGCCAGCACUGAGCUGCCCCUGUGAAGACAGGCACCAAGGUCUCUGCACCUUCUCUUGCAGGGAACCCACCUGGAGUCUGACAAAACCUGACAAGUGGUAUUGGAGUAGAGGAACUGGAAAGAAACCCAACUGCAGUGUCUUCCCCUGAAGAGCAGGACAUGGCAAGGUGGGAACUUGGAAUGAAAUUAGGAAGGAAAGUGAUUGUGAUGGUUUGGGUUUUGCCUGACCCCUGUCCAUGCAAUGAAAUCACCUGGCCUGGGCUCAGCUGGCUGGAAGAAAUGAAGCUCUAUUUACAUGCAUAUAAUGACAGUUAUGUGCAAGUUCAAAGUAACACAGAAGCACUCACUCUCUCCCAACACAUAGUGCUCAGGCUCAAACCUCCUCUCCCCUGGUUUUCCUCCCUUUCAGUAAUAAUCAGAUCAAUCCCUGCAUGUUUCACAUAAUAAAUGUGGGGAAAUCUGAGAUGAGAUGUCCAAAAGAUAACCCUUUAAUUCCCCUAACCUGGCUGCUAGGUUGGAUUAGAGUCAAGGCAGAGGCAACCAGCACAGUGAUGCAAACCUCCUUGUCCAGAAUCAAAGAUGUGAAUGGGUGAACUUAGUUCAAAAACAACAUCUUCUGUCCCCACACAGAAACAAAAGCCACAGUUGGUUAAAAAAACCCCAAACUCCUGUGUGUGGCAGACCAUAGCCAGAGUUCAAUCUUUUCCCUAUGGUAGGAAUUGAAGUCUUCCUCUAAACAAAAUGUUAUUACUCACAUGCAGUCUGCAGUCCUUUCUUGGUCAAGGAUGAAAAUGCUUUAGGAAAGAGUUGUGCAGGUACAUGUAGGAACAGCCCCUCAGAAAAAGCCUGCAGCUAACCUGAUACCAAAAGGACUCAGACUCUUCCCCUGCUCUGGUUCUCUAUUUUUUCCUGGGUGUAAUAAAGAAUUGCAGUGGUCUUUAUUUAAACAUAUCAUGCAAGUCACUCUAAUAAGUUAACAGAGAUCAUGCAAGAGAACAAAGUCUCAUCCCUCCAUACCACUAUUUUGUGUCAGUUUUGUAAGCAUGGACAAUCCAAGCAGGUUUAAUAGUGAAGAAGACUUCUUCUGUCUCCCAGUAAUAUUUCUAACUCCUUAUCACAAAUGGAU